rnacentral:rRNA from 1 species
AUGCUCGCCGCGGCGGCCUCGACAGGCAACUACGUGGUGCCACCUUCCUCCAAGACCGGCCGCCUCGUGCUGCGGCUGUUGGCAGUGGCGCAACGAGUCUCCCACCUCACCACCACCGCUGUCCUUCCGUCCAUGGCGGCGGCGACCUCCGGCGUCAGCAGGCUCAGUGCGGCGGCGGGCAACAACAAUGGCGACGCCGGCCUCCAAGACCCCAUCCCGGCCUUUGUUGGAAUAUGUUAUCUACAGAUGUACCGGGACUCUUUGUUGAUGGUCCUCUCUACAACGAGUGGAGAAUCGAGACCUGUUUAUGGAGGUGUGUACACGAUUGGAGGCUUCGGCGAGGGAUAUUUUUAUCCAACGUGGGUGGCAGCAUGA